rnacentral:rRNA from 1 species
UACGUAGGGGGCUAGCGUUGUCCGGAAUCAUUGGGCGUAAAGCGCGUGUAGGCGGUUCGGUAAGUCCGCUGUGAAAGUCGGGGGCUCAACCCUCGGAUGCCGGUGGAUACUGUCGGACUAGAGUACGGAAGAGGCGAGUGGAAUUCCUGGUGUAGCGGUGAAAUGCGCAGAUAUCAGGAGGAACACCUAUUGCGAAGGCAGCUCGCUGGGACGUUACUGACGCUGAGACGCGAAAGCGUGGGGAGCAAACAGG